CCAAUAGUGAUAGUGCGGCCGUAAAGUCAUGUGGCUACCUUGGUAACGAAGCAAACGUACCCUUAAGCAGAGAGAGAGGGGGAGGGAGUGAUAAGGAAAGAUGGAUAAUAUGAUAUUGUGUUCCUUAUGGCCAUCUCAUAUGGCAAAUGGCUAUGUUUGCGAUUAAUGCUCUAAGAACUGCUUUCUGCAAUGGCUGUGAACUUCCUUAUAGACCAACUUGUGAUUGUGUUUUACGCAUUGUGGGUACUGGGUUCUCUACUUCUCUUAGUGAUACAUCGCUGAGGAUUGGCCAGAAUGAUUUAUAUAUAUAUAUAUCCCAAUAUGUAGUUUUCUUCGUAUAACCUCGAUCUAAAGCCUAAUGUUAAAACCCCCCCUACCCAUGGCCAUCAGCAACAGAUUCCAUUUCAACGACGUUUUCUCGUAACAUAGGACACAAGAAAAUAAAGGAGCUAGAUGAGCCAUGUGAUACCGUCCCAGUCCAGUCCCUGCAGCAAAUUUGGAGAACAUUCCCUUGUCCUCCCCACGGGAGAAAGGUCCCAAGCGCUACGGGCCAUGAUAGCCAUUGCACGCGUUGCCAGCAACCAUCCAACCCAAUCCAAUAUCCAUCCAUCGGCC
rnacentral:lncRNA from 1 species